rnacentral:RNase_P_RNA from 1 species
GCAGUAGACCGGUCUGUCGCUCCGACUUUAGAGAGUUGGGGAGGAACGUCCGGGCAACGUAGAGCACCACACUACCUAACGGGUAGCCGUUCGUGAGGGCAGAGUAGCGUAACAGAGAAGAACCGCCAUGGCUUGCCAUGGUAAGGGUGAAAAGGUGAGGUAAGAGCUCACCGGCAGGGUCAGCGAUGGCUCUGGCCGUACGCCUUGUGGGUUGUAAGAUCAUGUAUACCAACGUUUGAGGGUUGCUCGCCUGAGGUUGGGGGGUAGAUCGCUUGAUUCGCGAGGAGACUCGACGAACAGAUAAAUGACAGACACCGCUUAUUGCUUCGAGGAAGUCAAGUGGUACAGAACCCGGCUUAUAGGUCUACUGCUCUC